rnacentral:lncRNA from 1 species
CAAGAGGUGCCCCUGCUCGAGCCCCUGGUGUGCAAGAAGAUCGCCCAGGAGCGGCUCACGGUCCUUCUCUUCCUGGAGGACUGCAUCAUCACCGCCUGCCAGGAGGGCCUCAUCUGUACCUGGGCCCGGCCGGGCACGGCGUUCACAGACGAGGAGGCCGAGGCCCAGACAGGGGAAGGAAGUUGGCCCAGGUCACCCAGCAAGUCAGUGGUAGAGGGCAUCUCUUCCCAACCAGGCAACUCCCCGAGCGGCACAGUGGUGUGAAGCCAUGGAUGUCGGGGUCCCCCCCUCCAUGUUCCCCGCCUCCUAGCCAUAACCCUCCCGCUGACCUCAUGGAUCAACGUAUUAACAAGACUAACCAUGACGGAUGGACUGCUCCAGUCCCUUGCCCUGCACAUAUUUGGGGGUCAGAGGGUCCCCCAGACUGGCCCAGACACACGGGGGGAUGUAGUGGCCCGUGCGGCCUCAGCCUUGUCCCCACCCACUGCCAAGUACAAUGACCCCUUCCUCUGAAACAUCAGUGUUCGCCUCAUCCCUGUCCCCAGCAUGUGACUGGUCACUCCUGGGGGAGAAACCCCCCACCCACAAGCUCUGCAGUGUGCCCCUCAUCCUGGGGUCAGGGCCGGGGUGGCCCACCCCUCCCCUGGCCCCCCACCCUGCCCUCGCUGUUGUUUGUGCUUUUGAAGAGUGUUAAAUUAUGGAAGCCCCUCGGGGCCCUCCCUGUCCCCCAGGACCUCUUAUUUAUACUAAAGUUCCCUGUUUUCACAGUG